ACCAGCUCUUCAAGUGGUCGGGAUGAUUAUUGGGCUUAAAGUGUCCGUAGCCGGUUUAGUAAGUUCCUGGUAAAAUCAGGUAGCUUAACUAUCUGUAUGCUAGGAAUACUACUAUACUAGAGGGCGGGAGAGGUCUGAGGUACUAUAGGGGUAGGGGUGAAAUCUUAUAAUCCUUGUAGGACCACCAGUGGCGAAGGCGUCAGACUGGAACGUGCCUGACGGUGAGGGACGAAAGCCAGGGGAGCGAACCGGAUUAGAUACCCGGGUAGUCCUGGCCGUAAACGAUGCAUACUAGGUGAUGGCCCGGCCAUGAGCCGUGUCAGUGCCGUAGGGAAACCGUUAAGUGUGCCGCCUGGGAAGUACGGUCGCAAGGCUAAAACUUAAAGGAAUUGGCGGGGAGCACCACAAGGGGUGAAGCCUGCGGUUC
rnacentral:rRNA from 1 species